rnacentral:pre_miRNA from 1 species
AUUUAAGUAUAAGUGUGUCUCACGCAAUAUUUGGGACAUACUCAUACUAAAA